rnacentral:rRNA from 1 species
AACGAACGCUGGCGGCAGGCUUAACACAUGCAAGUCGAACGCACCGCAAGGUGAGUGGCAGACGGGUGAGUAACGCGUGGGAACGUACCCUUUACUACGGAAUAACUCAGGGAAACUUGUGCUAAUACCGUAUGUGCCCUUCGGGGGAAAGAUUUAUCGGUAAAGGAUCGGCCCGCGUUGGACUAGCUAGUUGGUGGGGUAAAGGCCUACCAAGGCGACGAUCCAUAGCUGGUCUGAGAGGAUGAUCAGCCACAUUGGGACUGAGACACGGCCCAAACUCCUACGGGAGGCAGCAGUGGGGAAUAUUGGACAAUGGGCGCAAGCCUGAUCCAGCCAUGCCGCGUGAGUGAUGAAGGUCUUAGGAUUGUAAAGCUCUUUCACCGGGGAAGAUAAUGACGGUACCCGGAGAAGAAGCCCCGGCUAACUUCGUGCCAGCCGCCGCCGUAA